CCUACGGGAGGCAGCAGUGGGGAAUAUUGGGCAAUGGAGGAAACUCUGACCCAGCAACGCCGCGUGAAUGAUGAAGGUCUUCGGAUUGUAAAGUUCUUUUCUAAGGGAAGAAGAAAGUGACGGUACCUUAGGAAUAAGCCUCGGCUAACUACGUGCCAGCAGCCGCGGUAAUACGGAGGAGGCAAGCGUUAUCCGGAAUGACUGGGCGUAAAGGGUGCGUAGGUGGUUUGACAAGUUGGUAGCGUAACUCCGGGGCUCAACCUCGGCACUACUACCAAAACUGUCGGACUUGAGUGCAGGAGGGGCAAAUGGAAUGCCUAGUGUAGCGGUGGAAUGCGUAGAUAUUAGGAGGAACACCAGUGGCGAAGGCGAUUUGCUGGGCUGUAACUGACACUGAGGCACGAAAGCGUGGGGAGCAAACAGGAUUAGAUACCCCGGUAGUC
rnacentral:rRNA from 1 species